GUCUUGAUGGCGCAGUAGGCAGCGCGUGAGUCUCAUAAUCUCAAGGUCGUGAGUUUGAUCCUCACUCGGGGCA
rnacentral:tRNA from 1 species